GACGAACGCUGGCGGCGUGCUUAACACAUGCAAGUCGAACGGAAAGGCCCUGCUUUUGUGGGGUGCUCGAGUGGCGAACGGGUGAGUAACACGUGAGUAACAUGCCCUUGACUUUGGGAUAACUUCAGGAAACUGGGGCUAAUACCGGAUAGGAGCUCCUGCUGCAUGGUGGGGGUUGGAAAGUUUCGGCGGUUGGGGAUGGACUCGCGGCUUAUCAGCUUGUUGGUGGGGUAGUGGUUUACCAAGGCUUUGACGGGUAGCCGGCCUGAGAGGGUGACCGGCCACCUUGGGCCUGAGGUACGGCCCAGACGCCUACGGGAGGCAGCAGUGGGGAAUAUUGCACAAUGGGCGGAAGCCUGAUGCAGCAACGCCGCGUUCGGGAUGACGGCCUUCGGGUUGUAAACCGCUUUCGCCUGUGACGAAGCGUGAGUGACGGUAAUGGGUAAAGAAGCACCGGCUAACUACGUG
rnacentral:rRNA from 1 species